AACGAACGCUGGCGGUAUGCUUAACACAUGCAAGUCGAACGAACAAAAUUGGGGCUUGCUCCAAUUUUAGUGAGUGGCAAACGGGUGAGUAACACGUGGGAAUCUACCUAUCAGUACGGAAUAACAUUUGGAAACAGAUGCUAAUACCGUAUAUUCUCCAAGGAGGAAAGAUUUAUCGCUGAUAGAUGAGCCCGCGUAAGAUUAGGUAGUUGGUAGGGUAAUGGCCUACCAAGCCGACGAUCUUUAGCUGGUCUGAGAGGAUGAUCAGCCACACUGGGACUGAGACACGGCCCAGACUCCUACGGGAGGCAGCAGUGGGGAAUAUUGGACAAUGGGCGAAAGCCUGAUCCAGCAAUACCGCGUGAAUGAUGAAGGCCUUAGGGUUGUAAAGUUCUUUUAGUUGGAAGAUAAUGACUGUACCACCAGAAGAAGCCCCGGCUAACUCCGUGCCAGCCGCCGCCGUAA
rnacentral:rRNA from 1 species